GAAGGUAUAGAUCAGUGGUAGAGCGCAUGCUUAGCACGCACGAGGUCCUGGGUUCAAUCCCUAGUACCUCCG
rnacentral:tRNA from 1 species